UACGAAGGGGGCUAGCGUUGUUCGGAAUCACUGGGCGUAAAGCGCACGUAGGCGGAUCUUUAAGUCAGAGGUGAAAUCCCAAGGCUCAACCUUGGAACUGCCUUUGAUACUGGGGAUCUUGAGUCCGGGAGAGGUGAGUGGAACUGCGAGUGUAGAGGUGAAAUUCGUAGAUAUUAGGAAGAACACCAGUGGCGAAGGCGGCUCACUGGUCCGGUACUGACGCUGAGGUGCGAAAGCGUGGGGAGCAAACAGG
rnacentral:rRNA from 1 species